rnacentral:rRNA from 1 species
CAGCCCGCGGUAAUACAGAGGGUGCAAGCGUUAAUCGGAAUUACUGGGCGUAAAGCGCGCGUAGGUGGUUUGUUAAGUUGGAUGUGAAAGCCCCGGGCUCAACCUGGGAACUGCAUCCAAAACUGGCAAGCUAGAGUACGGUAGAGGGUGGUGGAAUUUCCUGUGUAGCGGUGAAAUGCGUAGAUAUAGGAAGGAACACCAGUGGCGAAGGCGACCACCUGGACUGAUACUGACACUGAGGUGCGAAAGCGUGGGGAGCAAACAGGAUUAGAUACCCCAGUAGUCCCUGUCUCUUAUACAC